rnacentral:rRNA from 1 species
CGUCACACACCGGGAGUUGGAGACGCCCGAAGCCGCUUAUCUAACCUUUUGGAAGAAGUCGGCGAAGGUGGAAUCAAUAACUGGGGUGAAGUCGUAACAAGGUAGCCGUAUCGGAAGGUGCGGCUGGAUCACCUCCUUUCUAAGGAGA